CGCCGGCGGGAGCAGCUCCCGGUCGCCGAUUAGUUUUAUCUCGGAACGUCAAUUGACUUAUACUGAUUGGCUUCCAGCCGCCAAAUGUCAAUUAAAUUGCAAAUGUUCAGCGGAGGCCCAGCGCGGGGCGCGAUGGCAGGCGGCCCCUUCCUGAGGGCGCCCGGUGCUGCCGCGGUGGGUUUGAUUUCUCCUUCCACGCCGCGUGCGACAAGGCCGAGCCCUCCCGGGCCAAGAGCCCGCAGGUUCAGCCUGGGAAUUGGAGGAAAGCCUGCGGGGGCGCCGAACCAGCCCUGAUUCUGGAACAGCUCCGGCUUUGAGAGGAGGAACCUUCGCUAGGUGGCAAAGCAGGGUCUUGGGAUGCAACUUUUGGCGUGGCCUUUAAAAAACCCCUUCUCGCUUCUCCCGCCUGGUUUUCCUCAACUGCUAAGGUUAAGAAAGACUUGAAGGCGGGCCUGGCACGCACUAUGAAACUGACCUUGAACUUGGAAUGUUCCUGCCUCUACUCUCUCAGAGCUGGGAUUACAGGUGUGCACCACCACCUUUUUGUGUGGAUCUGGGGAUGAAACUCGGGGCUUCACAGGCCCUAUGCAAAGGCUCUACCCAUCCGGGAGGUACUAUGUUGUUGUUGUUGUUAAGCUCUGUUUUUAUUUGUGGCAGGCUCUCUCUGUGUAGGCCUGGAAAGAGUGAUCCUCCUGCCUCCACCCUCUCCCACUGGAAUGCUAGGUGAGCACCACGGUGACUUGACUCCUGAAAAAGACCGUAUUGCCAUCACCACUACCACCUCCAAGAGACUGCCUGGAGGACAAGGCAGGAAAAUUGUCCCAGAGUUCCCAGAGGACAAGUGACCAGUCGGGCCUGCCUUCUUCAGAAAGCGGUGGCUUCAUGGUUGUUUGUCCCCACUUGAGAGAUGGCAAAACUCCUGCUUGGGCAGGAUCCCAAAGCAGACCCAUAAGGUGGACUGCACUGAUGCCCAGUAGGUGCUCUGCAGAGCACUUUCCUGGGCACUGGGGCUCACCAAAUUUGCCAGGACUUUGAGGGAAUUGUGCACUUUCUCUUUGCUGGUAAGCACACGGGGCUGGGUGUGGUAGCAUAUCCCUGAAACCUCAGCACUCAGAGGUCCAGGCAGGAGGAUUGGGAGUUCAAGGCCAGCUUAGGCUACACGUCAAGACCUUGUCUCAAAAAGCAGAGGGAGGAGAGAAACGGCUGUGGAGAUGUCUCAGUGGGUAAGGUUGCUUGUUCUUCAAGUAUAGAGUUCUGAAUUUGAAUCCCCAUCACCCACAUAAAAAGCGGAGCAUGGCUGUGCGUGUCUGUAACCUUACCAUUAGGUAGUGGAUCCUUGUGAACUCAGUGGCCUACAAGCCUAGGCAAACAGGUUUGGUAAUAGACCUGUCUCUCCAUGCAAAAACAUGGAGAGCAAUAGAGGAAGACUCCUAAUGACCUUCUACAGCCUCCCCAUGAGUGUGCAUGGGUGUGUGCACCUACACAUUCACAUGCAUUUACCACACACAUAUAUGCCAUAUACAUGCCACAAUCACACACCCAAAAGAAGAAAAGGGGAGAGGGAAAGGGAGGGGAGACUGAGGCCCAGAAAGGGUUGCUCAAGAUCAGCAGCAAGGGAGAGCAGAGGCAAGACUUGAGGGCUCAGGACUCCCAGUCCAGUGCUCCCAGCCCUAUCUCAAAGAGGCCUUGAACAAGGACAGCUCAGACUUGGGCUUUGCUCUCACCCCUCUCCCCUUCUGCAGGGAGCUGAGAGGAAGACAUGUGACAUUGAUUUGGAAGAUUCUCUGAACCAUGAGGAAGAAUAUGAAGGAGGUCCAGGAAAGAGCCAUUCGCUGGAGGGAUGAAGCCUUGGGCCCCAGAGAGGUUUGGCUUUUGGCCUGUCAACGGUCUCCAGUGUACCUCUCCCUCUGCCUCUUCUGUCUGCUUCCCUGAGGCUGUCUCUUGAGAGAGAGCUACAAGAGUUCUUAACUGAUAAAAUGUCCAGCAUUUAAAAGCUACAAACCUGGCCAGUCGUCCUUUGCAGAGAAGAAAUGUUCACUGAACAAAAGUGCCAUUCAGAGGUACUGGAUGGAGUCUGUGUCUCAGAGAGAAAAGAAAUGAACGGAAGAUGGAGAAGGGGGGCGGCGUAGGAGGACAGAAGAGAGGGAACCAGGAGCUAGAGGACUUGUCAGGCUUCCUGCAUCCAAAUGGGGCCCAGAUGGGACAGGACCACAGCUAAGAUCACACAGCAAGGCAAUACUGAAACCAAACAAGGGGACUCAGGCUCCUCCACCUGAGUAUGCGCUCACAGCCUACAACAGCACACCACACACACACACACACACACACACACACACACACACACACACACACACACACACCCCAGGCACAGCUGGAAUCAGCUGAGAUUCCGAAGCAUGGGGCUAAAAUGCUGCCUGUCUAGAGUGCUUGCCCAGCACGCACAAGCACCGGGAAAGAUCCUGAUGCGUUCUGUAAACUGAGUGUGUGUUACACCUCUAAUCCAGGUAAUCCUGGUGGGAAAAUCAGAAGCUCAAGAUCAUCCUGGGCUACAAAGCAAGUUCAAGACCAGCAUGAGCAACACCAGCCCCAUCUCAAUAAGUGAAUAAAUUCUGAUUGUUUCUUCUUUUCCUUCUGAACCUAGCCAGAAUAACCUUAUCAAGCUGAUAUACCAUGUUCAACAAGAGAGGAAGCCAGACAUGGUGCUUGCAAUCCUAGCACUUGAAGACUGAGGCUGGAGAUUUACUGUGAGUUGGAGGCCAGCGUGCUAUACUAUGAGAUCUUGAGAGAAAAAUGAUGCGGGGGCGGGUGGUGGGGUAGGCAAAAGAACAGGGAAUAGAGAAAUGUCUCCUCAAGGCUUUCAUGUGGAAUCUUAGAUUCAGGGUAAAACCACUCUGCUCUGAUAUUAGAAAAAUAAUAAUCAUUCCCUUGGGCCAGCGCAAAUCAGAUAUUAUAGGUAACAUUUUAGUUACUAAGAAAGAUGGGGAAGCCCCCUUUCUAACAGAUAAAGAAACCAGGGAUCAAGGGAGAUCUUCAGCUGUGAAAGCACACAUGACUGCUGGGAGGGACCCCAUGCAUCCAUGGCGUCAUCCAUGUGAGUGGCCGGGCAAUACUGGAGCUAACUGGCUCAAAUGUGGCCAGGAAGAGUGCAGAGCCAGUGUUACUGGAGAUGUUUCGGAAUGGAGACCUGAGAGGUGAAACAAACCUGAGCUGGGUCUUUCCAAAUCCAGCCUCAGGGCAGACCUGGAGAGAGCUGAGGACACGCCCCGGGGGACACUCCGCCCUACACCAGCACUAUCCUGUUGUGACACUGGGAGGCAAACCAGGUCCCUGCCCAUUCUGCCAAACUCCGGGCUGAGCUGGGUGACCUUGGACAACUUCCUUGAGCUCUCUGAAUCUCUGUAAAAGGGAGGGUGAUGAGAGUACCCAGUUGGUAAACUGGUCGUACUAACUGCAUCAGUCAUUUAAAUGCACGUCCUCAAAACUUUUCA